AGAGUUUGAUCCUGGCUCAGAGCGAACGCUGGCGGCAGGCUUAACACAUGCAAGUCGAACGGGCGUAGCAAUACGUCAGUGGCAGACGGGUGAGUAACGCGUGGGAACGUACCUUUUGGUUCGGAACAACCCAGGGAAACUUGGGCUAAUACCGGAUAAGCCCUUACGGGGAAAGAUUUAUCGCCGAAAGAUCGGCCCGCGUCUGAUUAGCUUGUUGGUGAGGUAACAGCUCACCAAGGCGACGAUCAGUAGCUGGUCUGAGAGGAUGAUCAGCCACAUUGGGACUGAGACACGGCCCAAACUCCUACGGGAGGCAGCAGUGGGGAAUAUUGGACAAUGGGCGCAAGCCUGAUCCAGCCAUGCCGCGUGAGUGAUGAAGGCCCUAGGGUUGUAAAGCUCUUUUGUGCGGGAAGAUAAUGACGGUACCGCAAGAAUAAGCCCCGGCUAACUUCGUGCCAGCAGCCGCGGUAAUACGAAGGGGGCUAGCGUUGCUCUGAAUUACUGGGCGUAAAGGGUGCGUAUGCGGGUCUUUAAGUCAGGGGUGAAAUCCUGGAGCUCAACUCCAGAACUGCCUUUGAUACUGAGGAUCUUGAGUUCGGGAGAGGUGAGUGGAACUGCGAGUGUAGAGGUGAAAUUCGUAGAUAUUCGCAAGAACACCCAGUGGCGAAGGCGGCUCACUGGCCCGAUACUGACGCUGAGGUAUUAAUGCGUGGGGAGCAAACAGGAUUAG
rnacentral:rRNA from 1 species